UUCAAUGGCGGGCCGGGUGGGGCAGCCUUCGGGCUGGCCGGUGCCAACGUUCCGGUUCGCCAACCCCGCUUCGGCCCGCCCCCCUC
rnacentral:antisense_RNA from 1 species